CUUCAGUGUCUUUUCCUGAAAUACUGGUACUUGGAAGGCUGCUAGGAAAACUGUAUCAACAACUUCACUGUUAAGCAAAAUGAGGAUGAAGAUAUAUUUUAACAGAAUGACAGCAUGUUACCACUGGACUCCAACCUUGACUUGCAGUGCUAAUUCAUUUCCCCUGAGCUUUGAGGAACUUGUGAUCAAGGAUGAAUUUUAGGUCCAGGAUCUGUGGGAGGGGUUCAGCCACAUCCUGUUCCAGAGAAAUAGGACUGUGUUUGAACAUGGCAGGACCGCUCAUCCCUUCCUUCUCACUGAAAGUUGCCCUGUACCCUCAAUCACGACAACAGAGAGUGGUGGAGACCAAAAGAGGAAACUAAGAAAGUAAAAACUGUGCUUCAACUUCAUGGUAUACUUCUUGCAAUGAGAUGUAUUGGCUGUGGAAAAUCUUUCAUAGAAAGCAGUGCAAAACCUCCCACAUUGGACAAUUCAAAUUACCCUCAGCAAGAUACCAGGGAAAAACCCUGCCAACUUGCAUGGGCAGGGAGGGAGGUUAUCUCUUCCGUGAGUCUGUGAUCCUCCAUCUGACUGUCAGUAAAAGGGCUACAGGCAGAAUUGCUGCACCUGGAUGCCAGAAGGUCACGCAGUGACUUGACAUUUUAUCUCUCUCUCUUAACUUCUUAGAUGAGAAGGGUUCCAUUACAGUUGUUACUGCCCCUCACAAAAAUGACAUUUUUCGUGAGAUUCCAGCUAUACUGGUAUUAAGAAAACCCACCCCAAUCUUCUUUUGAUUUCAGAUCCAAAUGUGAACAAAACCAAAACAGGCAAAAUCAAAUGCAAGUCUGGAUCCAACAAUGGAAAUCAUUAGCCAUCUGCUCAGAAAUUUGAGGAGCUCCAGAUGUGAGCUGAAAGCUUGGACUGAUUUUCCUUAUGCCUGCAUGAAUGCAUUUUCUAUGACGGCAAAUUGUUAACUUCUUGCUUCUCAGCCAGGAUCACAUCAAAGUUCAUCAUGUGUUAAAGGAAAGCAGCUGCAAUGGCAGCUUGAUGGAAUUUAUUGCUUUUUGUCUAGAUUCCAUUUCACAUUCUCUUUGACCCCAUGCUACUUUUCUUGGGCUGAUCAGAAGAGUUGAAAAAGAUGUCCUUUCUCUCUAGGUCUCAUUUUGAAAUAGCAGAUCAACAUGGACAUGCCAAGUCUUUCAAAAUAAUCCUGUACUUAAACUAUUAUUGGAUUCAAAAGUGUUUUCUCCUCUACCUAUCCCUGCUCUAAAAUUCUUAAGCAUGAUGUUAACAAGAAAUGAUAUGCUAUACUGUGUAAAGAAUUUUUAAACACGUGUUAAAAACAGUGAUGGAAUUUUACUUGGAAACAGGUGAGCUUUUGUUAUUC